ensembl:lincRNA 2700089I24Rik RIKEN cDNA 2700089I24 gene
AGAGUGUAAACAGCUCAGAUGAGAGUCUGCCUAUUAGGCACUUAAAACAAUAUUGAGACUGAAGAUCUUGUGCCUUUCUUCCAACACAAUUCAUUGAUUCUGCAGUGGAAGUGAUUUUAUUGAUUAGGUAGUCUUUCCUUCUCAAGUCAAGGGAGACAAGCUCAAGGAAGAGACAAAGUCAAGCAAGCUUGACCCACACUCCUGUGCUUCACAGGGACCCCUGGCCUCAGGCUAGUGCCACCAUCUUCAGGGUGGGUCUCUCAGCUUCAACUAAACCUCUCUAAAAAUCCUCAUGUUGACAUACCCAGAAGCAUGUCUCCCAGGAGAUUUUAAAUCUAGGCAGUGUCUAGAAGGUCUGGAUCAUGGCUGCAUCUUCGUAACUGUGUUUUCAAAUGAUACAUCAGCAUGCUCCCAUCUCAUGGCAUCACCAGAACCAGCACCAUCCUUCAUGCUCCUCACAUUUCCUGGUUUAGAAGAUCAAAAGCUGCCAAAAAUUGUUUCAAAAGAAAAAUAAAUCUGAGAGAAGUUGAGUUCGGAAUUACAAGGGAGCUUGCCUGUGUCCACUACUCAAGGAGCCAAGUAAGAGGGGCUUGCACUGCAGAGCUGGCCUCUCUUCUCUGUUCCCCGAGCACCUAAGAAGCCCUCACUUAGCCUUGUCUCAUGAAGUCUAAUGAGACUAGUUCCCAAAUUAAACUUCACACAAAUGGAGCAGUCAGGAUCAUUUUCCAAAGAGUGUUUAGAAUAAAUGUCUGUCAGUUCCUGGCUAGCCCUACUUAGAUCUGGAAGAUGAGUUCGCAGACUUAAGAGCUUUGAAUGAAGAACUCAGGCUUCCUUUGGGAUCUAAACUCUGUCUCUCUGAGUCAUUGUUUUUCUCUCUCUCUCUCUUACACACACACACACACACACACACACACACACACACAGAGGCACACACACAGACACACAUAUACACAGACACACACAUACACACACACACACAUACACAUACACAGAGAGAGACACACAGAGACACACACACACACACACACACCUAUCACAGGUACCUUUCAGUAUUUCCAUUUUACCUGUUAAGGGUCUGACCAAGGCCAGUGAUGCUUCCUAUCUUGACCUGGGAUGGUCAACAGAUUGGAAUCCUUGUCCCUUCAUGUUUCUUGUAGACAUUGGAUUUUGAAGAAGAAUCAGGUCUUAGGAACUAAAGGUAAGACCCUCAUGGGUAGAGAUUGAGCACCUGCCUGAAAUCAGAAAUCUAAGAAGGAGGAGAAGAUCCAACACCUCCCAAGAUGUCCUGGGAUGAAGAUGAGAUUGGGUAGAGAACUUCAAGUACAUGGUCCCCACAUCCUAAUGACUUGGGACUCACUAUUGGAGGUAGAUCUUCCUCCAACCACUAAUUCAGCUGUCUGUAAGAUUCCACACAAAAAUUAGGUGCCAAUAGUUAGAAAAUGUCCAGCAAAACAGGUUAGUGGCAGAAAGAUUAGAAAAUAAUGUCAUAAAUGAAGAAAAAUUAGCAUCAUCUAUAAACCUCUUCCAGUCUGAGAACACAGGGGCAACAUUCAAUAUCAUAUUAAAUUGUGGGUGUGCUUUGAUAUUACAUAUGACAUGCUAGUCAUAUAUACAAAAGCACGUGUGUGUGUAUGUGCACAGUACAAGCUAUUGCAUGUAUUGACAAGCCCCACCUUAUGAAAUGUCAGCCUCUGAUUCUUUGAGCUUUCUUCUUUAUAUUGAUGCAAAAGCAGUGACUGUUUGGUGGAAACUCCCAUUCAGUUUUGAAUUUGGACUUUUUUUUCUUGGCUGUACUAUAAUAAUCAAAAUUCAACCACUAAUACUAAUUAGUAAUUCCUCC